rnacentral:rRNA from 1 species
GUGACGAAAAAUAACGAUACGGGACUCAUCCGAGGCCCCGUAAUCGGAAUGAGAACAAUUUAAAUCCUUUAACGAGGAUCAAUUGGAGGGCAAGUCUGGUGCCAGCAGCCGCGGUAAUUCCAGCUCCAAUAGCGUAUAUUAAAGUUGUUGCGGUUAAAAAGCUCGUAGUCGAAUCUGUGUCCCGCGCCGCCGGUUCGUCGCUCGCGGCGUUUAACUGGCGUGUCCGCGGGACGUCCUGCCGGUGGGCUUAGCCUUUUCAUUAAGGCGGCCCAAUCUUAAUCCCGCCGCGGUGCUCUUCACCGAGUGUCGAGGCGGGCCGGCACGUUUACUUUGAACAAAUUAGAGUGCUUAAAGCAGGCUAAAACUUCGCCUGAAUACUUCGUGCAUGGAAUAAUGGAAUAGGACCUCGGUUCUAUUUUGUUGGUUUUCGGAACCCCGAGGUAAUGAUUAAUAGGAACGGAUGGGGGCAUUCGUAUUGCGACGUUAGAGGUGAAAUUCUUGGAUCGUCGCAAGACGGACAGAAGCGAAAGCAUUU